UUUCUACUCCCUCCAUUCGGAAUUACUUGUCUUGGAUAUGGAUGUAUCUAGAACUAAAAUACAUCUAGAUACAUCCGUUUCUGCGACAAGUAAUUCCGAACGGAGGGAGUAUAUA
rnacentral:pre_miRNA from 1 species